rnacentral:rRNA from 1 species
AACGAACGUUAGCGGCGCGCCUAACACAUGCAAGUCGCACGAGAAAGGGCUUCGGCCCCGGUAAAGUGGCGCACGGGUGAGUAACACGUGGGUAAUCUGCCCUCGAGCGGGGGAUAACAUUCCGAAAGGAGUGCUAAUACCGCAUAAGACCACGAUCUCGAAAGAGGACGAGGUAAAAGCUGGCCUCUAUACAUAAGCUAGCACUUGAGGAUGAGCCCGCGGCGCAUCAGGUAGUUGGUGAGGUAAUGGCUCACCAAGCCUAAGACGCGUAGCUGGUCUGAGAGGAUGAUCAGCCACACUGGAACUGAGACACGGUCCAGACUCCUACGGGAGGCAGCAGUGGGGAAUCUUGCGCAAUGGGCGAAAGCCUGACGCAGCGACGCCGCGUGAGUGAUGAAGGCCUUCGGGUUGUAAAGCUCUGUGGGGAGAGAAGAAUUAGUGCAGCCUAAUACGUUGCAUGAUGACGGUAUCUCCUUAGCAAGCACCGGCUAACUCUGUGCCAGCCGCCGCCGUAACAC